AGAGUUUGAUCAUGGCUCAGGAUGAACGCUGACAGGAUGCUUAACACAUGCAAGUCUACUUGAUCCUUCGGGUGAUGGUGGCGGACGGGUGAGUAACGCGUAAAGAACUUGCCCUGCAGUCUGGGACAACAUUUGGAAACGGAUGCUAAUACCGGAUAUUAUGUGAGUUUCGCAUGAAAUUCAUAUGAAAGCUAUAUGCGCUGCAGGAGAGCUUUGCGUCCUAUUAGCUAGUUGGUGAGGUAACGGCUCACCAAGGCGAUGAUAGGUAGCCGGCCUGAGAGGGUGAACGGCCACAAGGGGACUGAGACACGGCCCUUACUCCUACGGGAGGCAGCAGUGGGGAAUAUUGGACAAUGGACCAAAAGUCUGAUCCAGCAAUUCUGUGUGCACGAUGAAGUUUUUCGGAAUGUAAAGUGCUUUCAGUUGGGACGAAGUAAGUGACGGUACCAACAGAAGAAGCGACGGCUAAAUACGUGCCAGCAGCCGCGGUAAUACGUAUGUCGCAAGCGUUAUCCGGAUUUAUUGGGCGUAAAGCGCGUCUAGGCGGUUUGGUAAGUCUGAUGUGAAAAUGCGGGGCUCAACUCCGUAUUGCGUUGGAAACUGCCAAACUAGAGUACUGGAGAGGUGGGCGGAACUACAAGUGUAGAGGUGAAAUUCGUAGAUAUCAGGAGGAACACCGGUGGCGAAGGCGGUUCUCUGGGCAUUACCUGACGCUGAGGAGCGAAAGUGUGGGGAGCGAACAGGAUUAGAUACCCUGGUAGU
rnacentral:rRNA from 1 species